rnacentral:tRNA from 1 species
GUUUUAAUAAUUUAACAAAAAUAUUGGUCUUGUAAAUCAAAAAUAAGAAUCUAUUCUUUUAAAACU